rnacentral:lncRNA from 1 species
GGAAACUAUAAACCUGGGCAAUGGCCCCUUAUCAGGGAGUCCUUCUGCUGGGUCCACAAGGGCAGAGGGCAAAGUCCAUGCAGAUAGGAGUGCUGGGCGCCAGAGGUAUUUGGGAAGAGGAGGUGGGGUCCUAAUGGGAAAGAAAGGGCCAGUGCUAAAUUCUGUUGAGCCCCUAGAUCUGGAAUGUGGCAACGGUUGGCGCCUAAACACCCGGAUCAUUUCCUAUGGAGUGGGCGGGAGAGUUGACCCAUGCCAGCCUCAAUUUCUACCCCUGUGUUAGGGUAAAAGGCUGCGGUCACCUUUAUAGAUCCCAGGUCACCUGUAUAGACCGAGAGGACUCUGCUUUAAAGCACCCAGAAGGUUCUACUGCGGGACCAGUGUGGACAAGAGGCUGGGAGAGGAGCCCACACAGAGCACGGCAUAGCACUACUGGCCACGGCUGGCACUGUUCGGUCCUCGGCCACUCAAGUCUUCCAGAGACCGCUGCCCUCUGGCUAGCACAAACCUGCUAUUGCAGGGUGCAGGCAUCUGAAAGCACCAGCCAGCCCGAGGGCCCGCCGAGAUGGAGGAGAUGGAGACGGCCCCCAAGUCGGGCGGCGCAGGAGAGAAGGUUUGGAGGGGCCGAAGGAGAAUCCGCACCCAGACCUUCAGGUCUGUGCUCAGUGUUCUGUUUCUGAGCCUUCAAGAGAGCAGGGUGGGUCUGGCUGAUAGAGGAAGCCGGGAGCCCGUGUCUUUGGAAGAUUAAUCUGGGGGUGGCAUCUGGAGUCUGUUUGGGAGACUGAUGGCUUUGGAGACAAGAGACCUCCCCAUGGGACAGAGACAGGCGUGAAAGACAGCUGACAUAAGAGAAGACAGGGCAGAGGGACAUUCCUCACGCCGUGCCCGGGCUGGAAUUAGCAAGCUUGGGAGGGAAUCCUUCUUCCUUGGCAGAAGAUUGGCAGCUCAUGUCUCCCUGCAGAGCGUUCUCCUCACAGAACUCUAGUCCAGAAUGAAUACAGAGCUGAGGGCACCAGGCUCAGCCAGAGGCCAUGGUAGCCCCUUUUGAGCCUGGUCUCUGACCUCCUUCUCCUCACCCUCCUUCAGCCAAACUCAGACUUGGAAGAUUUCUGUUUUUUAGAAUUUUUUUUUAAUCAGGCUGGAGAAAUGACUCAACAGGUGUGACCACUGGCUGCUCUUCCGGAAGACGCGGGAUCUAUUCCCAGCAUCCACAGUGGUAACUCACGAAGCUCGAAUUCCAGUCCCAGGGGAUUAAACUCCGAGAUCUCCCUGCCUCUGCCUCCUGAGUACUGGGAAUAAAGGACAAGGGCCACAGCCCCUGCCAACUUCCAGUUGAUGUUCUAAAUUAGCUUUGCCUUCAGACACACAAGGCGGGAAUGGCGGUGCCUCCAUGAUUGGGGAACAGUAUCAAGAAGGAAUUUCCAGGUUGUUUUUUUGAAGAACUUCCUCAGCCUGGCUAGCCCUUGAGGGCUGGGGAUUCCUGCCUGGGAAUUUUUCCAAUAUUCUGACAGCUGUUUCUUCCCUUUCCGUGGUUUUAUUAUUUUCUCGUUCAGUUCCAAAUCCUCCUUUCGCUUUCAGUAUGGUGGCCAGGACUGGCUUGGAGGGCGGGGGGCGGGGGGGGGCUGGCAUGUGCUGUGUCCGGAGCUAUGACCUCGGCCAGCAGUGCCAAGCAUUGGAUGGGACGCAAGAGGAAACAGGAGUCAAAGGCAGAGGAAGCAAGACCUGCUGAGGGGGCUCCUGUCUUUCUGAAACUCCUGCUCCCACUGGCCUGGCUGCUGUGGGCUCAGACCUGGGGCGGGCGGGGUGCCGGGCGCUGUUGGAGUCAUCAAGAUGGCUCAGCAGGUAGAGAAGCUUGCUGGCAAGCCAAGUCCACACCUGGAACCCAUGAGGUGAGAGGAGAGAACCAAACCCCAAAAGUUGUUCUCAGUCCUCCACAGAGGAGUUAUAGCACCCGUGGACAUGCACACACACACACACACACACACACACACACACACACACACACACACAAAAUCAAUCAACAAAUGUAAUUUGAAAGACGUUGGAACCUCUGAGAUGGCUCAGUGGAUAAAGACACCUUUGACCAAGCCUGGAUCCCCCGGACCCACAAGGUGAAAGGGGAGAACUGAUUUCUGCACACUGUCCUGGAACCUCUUCCCUCGAGCUGCCUGGCACUGGAGCAGUUACACCCGUGCUUCUGUGUGGGAGGGGACACAUUACCCCAGCUCGGUAGACAUUCUGGCUGCUGCUCUACGGAGCAGAAGGGCACAGGAAAGAGAGAGGUCUGGAAGUGGCCUGUGGAAUGGUCUGGGGAUGUGAAACACAGGCUUGGGGAGGUGCUGUAGUGCCCUGAGCAGCAAGCAGCAAGGAUAUGACAGAUACUUGGCUAAAAGCACAAGUCUCUACUAGGGAGACAUUUCUCGAUGCACAACUAGGGAGGGUGAGG